AUACGGAGGAUCCGAGCGUUAUCCGGAUUUAUUGGGUUUAAAGGGAGCGUAGGUGGACAGUUAAGUCAGUUGUGAAAGUUUGCGGCUCAACCGUAAAAUUGCAGUUGAUACUGGCUGUCUUGAGUACAGUAGAGGUGGGCGGAAUUCGUGGUGUAGCGGUGAAAUGCUUAGAUAUCACGAAGAACUCCGAUUGCGAAGGCAGCUCACUGGACUGCAACUGACACUGAUGCUCGAAAGUGUGGGUAUCAAACAGGAUUAGAUACCCUGGUAGUCCACACAGUAAACGAUGAAUACUCGCUGUUUGCGAUACACUGUAAGCGGCCAAGCGAAAGCGUUAAGUAUUCCACCUGGGGAGUACGCCGGCAACGGUGAAACUCAAAUGAAUUGACGGGG
rnacentral:rRNA from 1 species